rnacentral:rRNA from 1 species
AUUGAACGCUGGCGGCAGGCCUAACACAUGCAAGUCGAACGAGUGGCGGACGUGUGAGUACUGUCUGGGAACCUGCCCGAUGGAGGGGGAUCACUACUGGAAACGGUAGCUAAUACCGCAUACCAUCGGAUGUGCCCAGAUGGGAUUAGCGAGUGGGUGGGGUAACGGCUCACCUAGGCGACGAUCCCUAGCUGGUCUGAGAGGAUGACCAGCCACAAUGGAACUGAGACACGGUCCAGACUCCUACGGGAGGCAGCAGUGGGGAAUAUUGCACAAUGGGCGAAAGCCUGAUGCAGCCAUGCCGCGUGUAUGAAGAAGGCCUUCGGGUUGUAAAGUACUUUUAGCGAGGAGGCGGUACUCGCAGAAGAAGCACCGGCUAACUCCGUGCCAGCAGCCGCGGUAAUAC